rnacentral:rRNA from 1 species
UACGAAGGGGGCUAGCGUUGUUCGGAUUUACUGGGCGUAAAGAGCGCGCAGGCGGUCGUUCAAGUCGCGUGUGAAAGCCCCCGGCUCAACUGGGGAGGGUCACGCGAUACUGAUCGACUCGAAGGCAGGAGAGGGUAGUGGAAUUCCCGGUGUAGUGGUGAAAUGCGUAGAUAUCGGGCGGAACACCAGCGGCGAAGGCGGCAUCCUGGCCCUGUCCUGACGCUGAGGCGCGAGAGCGUGGGGAGCAAACCGG